CAAAGUAUUGACCUUCAUACACGACUGACUGCCGAACGACAACGAGUAGAGAGGGAAGGAAAGAGAAAACACACCUGUUGCAUGUUUGAAUGCUAGCAAGAACCAGAAGCAAAACCUAUGAGGAAAGUGAAGAAAUGAUGAUUGAAUGAAUGAAAUUUAAACUACUUUGGACCAGGUGUCUUAUUAUCUCUUGGUCUGUUUUCCUCUCCUGGCUGGUCUUCUUUGGGGGAUACCAUGGCAGCCUGUAGUAUCGACUUUCUCUUCGCUCUCCUCUUAACCUGUGAGCUGCGGUUGUCUGCUCCGCUGAGCUCCACAGGCCGACUGCAGCAGUGAGGCGGGAGAGAAUGCAGACAACCAAGUCCUGAUCAUGUGGACACUUAGCUUCUCUCAUCUCCUGACUCCUUUCUUCGCUGAGAGCAGCUUCGGUGGGCCGAUAGUCAGGCAAAACAUUUCUUCUGCUGACGUCUGUGCACUCGGAGGUGUGCAUUUGAUCACGACUACUCAUUACUAUUUGCCGCACACUCUGCCGCUGAACCUCAAAACAAGACGACGAUACAACGAUUCCCGGGAUCCCACGCUGUUUCCCAGCACAAGCUGGUAUUAGACACACUAAACGUACACAUUAUGCAUCUGUGUUGGAUCACUGAGGGGAAAAAUGGAUUUGUCGACACACUGGCUCUGGCAUUUUAGAGACAACAACAGACAGAGAUAUAUCAGAGAUGGAAAGAAGAGCUUUGUUCCAUCCGUCUCUGGUCAGAAUAACCUGAUCAAAAAGUGCAAAAAAAAAGAGGAAGCCUGUUGUUUCCAAGUUAAAUUUGAUUCACAGCAGGGUGUCUGAAAGAAAUGGACGAAAAUACAGCUAAUUUGCGGUGCUUGUGAGUUAAGGGUGUGCAUGUGUGGUAUUUGCACAAAAAAAAGGGACCAAAGUAUCCUCACCCUCUCCAUCUCUGAUUCUUCUUUUGUCUCUUUUUCUUUCCUACACGACCAGGCUGUUUUUGUUCGUUUUCUUUUAUGUUAGUGAUCAUGGAGUAAUAAUGGCUCGCUUAUGAGAUCCCCAAUGUCUGAUAUCACCUUAAGGAUCUGUCAGGUGGAAAACAAAAUACACACCAUGCAUUUUCAGACUAAUAUAUCCAUCCAUCCAUCCAUCUACUACUGCUUUAUCCUCCACAUGAGGG